AACGAACGCUGGCGGCAUGCCUAACACAUGCAAGUCGAACGAGACCUUCGGGUCUAGUGGCGAACGGGUGCGUAACGCGUGGGAACCUGCCCUUAGGUUCGGAAUAACUCCCCGAAAGGGGUGCUAAUACCGGAUAAUGUCUUCGAACCAAAGAUUUAUCGCCUUUGGAUGGGCCCGCGUUGGAUUAGCUAGUUGGUAGGGUAAAAGCCUACCAAGGCGACGAUCCAUAGCUGGUCUGAGAGGAUGAUCAGCCACACUGGGACUGAGACACGGCCCAGACUCCUACGGGAGGCAGCAGUGGGGAAUAUUGGACAAUGGGCGAAAGCCUGAUCCAGCAAUGCCGCGUGAGUGAUGAAGGCCUUAGGGUUGUAAAGCUCUUUUACCCGGGAUGAUAAUGACAGUACCGGGAGAAUAAGCUCCGGCUAACUCCGUG
rnacentral:rRNA from 1 species